rnacentral:rRNA from 1 species
UACAGAGGGGGCAAGCGUUGUUCGGAAUUACUGGGCGUAAAGGGCGCGUAGGCGGCCUUCUAAGUCGAACGUGAAAUCCCCGGGCUCAACCCGGGAACUGCGUCCGAUACUGGAAGGCUUGAAUCCGGGAGAGGGAUGCGGAAUUCCAGGUGUAGCGGUGAAAUGAGUAGAUAUCUGGAGGAACACCGGUGGCGAAGGCGGCAUCCUGGACCGGCAUUGACGCUGAGGCGCGAAAGCCAGGGGAGCAAACGGG